rnacentral:rRNA from 1 species
UUAAGCGACUAAGCGUACACGGUGGAUGCCCUGGCAGUCAGAGGCGAUGAAGGACGUGCUAAUCUGCGAUAAGCGUCGGUAAGGUGAUAUGAACCGUUAUAACCGGCGAUUUCCGAAUGGGGAAACCCAGUGUGUUUCGACACACUAUCAUUAACUGAAUCCAUAGGUUAAUGAGGCGAACCGGGGGAACUGAAACAUCUAAGUACCCCGAGGAAAAGAAAUCAACCGAGAUUCCCCCAGUAGCGGCGAGCGAACGGGGAGCAGCCCAGAGCCUGAAUCAGUGUGUGUGUUAGUGGAAGCGUCUGGAAAGGCGCGCGAUACAGGGUGACAGCCCCGUACACAAAAAUGCACAUACUGUGAGCUCGAUGAGUAGGGCGGGACACGUGGUAUCCUGUCUGAAUAUGGGGGGACCAUCCUCCAAGGCUAAAUACUCCUGACUGACCGAUAGUGAACCAGUACCGUGAGGGAAAGGCGAAAAGAACCCCGGCGAGGGGAGUGAAAAAGAACCUGAAACCGUGUACGUACAAGCAGUGGGAGCACAGAGCAAUCUGUGUGACUGCGUACCUUUUGUAUAAUGGGUCAGCGACUUAUAUUCUGUAGCAAGGUUAACCGAAUAGGGGAGCCGAAGGGAAACCGAGUCUUAACUGGGCGUUAAGUUGCAGGGUAUAGACCCGAAACCCGGUGAUCUAGCCAUGGGCAGGUUGAAGGUUGGGUAACACUAACUGGAGGACCGAACCGACUAAUGUUGAAAAAUUAGCGGAUGACUUGUGGCUGGGGGUGAAAGGCCAAUCAAACCGGGAGAUAGCUGGUUCUCCCCGAAAGCUAUUUAGGUAGCGCCUCGUGAAUUCAUCUCCGGGGGUAGAGCACUGUUUCGGCAAGGGGGUCAUCCCGACUUACCAACCCGAUGCAAACUGCGAAUACCGGAGAAUGUUAUCACGGGAGACACACGGCGGGUGCUAACGUCCGUCGUGAAGAGGGAAACAACCCAGACCGCCAGCUAAGGUCCCAAAGUCAUGGUUAAGUGGGAAACGAUGUGGGAAGGCCCAGACAGCCAGGAUGUUGGCUUAGAAGCAGCCAUCAUUUAAAGAAAGCGUAAUAGCUCACUGGUCGAGUCGGCCUGCGCGGAAGAUGUAACGGGGCUAAACCAUGCACCGAAGCUGCGGCAGCGACGCUUAUGCGUUGUUGGGUAGGGGAGCGUUCUGUAAGCCUGUGAAGGUGUACUGUGAGGCAUGCUGGAGGUAUCAGAAGUGCGAAUGCUGACAUAAGUAACGAUAAAGCGGGUGAAAAGCCCGCUCGCCGGAAGACCAAGGGUUCCUGUCCAACGUUAAUCGGGGCAGGGUGAGUCGACCCCUAAGGCGAGGCCGAAAGGCGUAGUCGAUGGGAAACAGGUUAAUAUUCCUGUACUUGGUGUUACUGCGAAGGGGGGACGGAGAAGGCUAUGUUGGCCGGGCGACGGUUGUCCCGGUUUAAGCGUGUAGGCUGGUUUUCCAGGCAAAUCCGGAAAAUCAAGGCUGAGGCGUGAUGACGAGGCACUACGGUGCUGAAGCAACAAAUGCCCUGCUUCCAGGAAAAGCCUCUAAGCAUCAGGUAACAUCAAAUCGUACCCCAAACCGACACAGGUGGUCAGGUAGAGAAUACCAAGGCGCUUGAGAGAACUCGGGUGAAGGAACUAGGCAAAAUGGUGCCGUAACUUCGGGAGAAGGCACGCUGAUAUGUAGGUGAAGUCCCUCGCGGAUGGAGCUGAAAUCAGUCGAAGAUACCAGCUGGCUGCAACUGUUUAUUAAAAACACAGCACUGUGCAAACACGAAAGUGGACGUAUACGGUGUGACGCCUGCCCGGUGCCGGAAGGUUAAUUGAUGGGGUCAGCGCAAGCGAAGCUCUUGAUCGAAGCCCCGGUAAACGGCGGCCGUAACUAUAACGGUCCUAAGGUAGCGAAAUUCCUUGUCGGGUAAGUUCCGACCUGCACGAAUGGCGUAAUGAUGGCCAGGCUGUCUCCACCCGAGACUCAGUGAAAUUGAACUCGCUGUGAAGAUGCAGUGUACCCGCGGCAAGACGGAAAGACCCCGUGAACCUUUACUAUAGCUUGACACUGAACAUUGAGCCUUGAUGUGUAGGAUAGGUGGGAGGCUUUGAAGUGUGGACGCCAGUCUGCAUGGAGCCGACCUUGAAAUACCACCCUUUAAUGUUUGAUGUUCUAACGUGGACCCGUAAUCCGGGUUGCGGACAGUGUCUGGUGGGUAGUUUGACUGGGGCGGUCUCCUCCUAAAGAGUAACGGAGGAGCACGAAGGUUGGCUAAUCCUGGUCGGACAUCAGGAGGUUAGUGCAAUGGCAUAAGCCAGCUUGACUGCGAGCGUGACGGCGCGAGCAGGUGCGAAAGCAGGUCAUAGUGAUCCGGUGGUUCUGAAUGGAAGGGCCAUCGCUCAACGGAUAAAAGGUACUCCGGGGAUAACAGGCUGAUACCGCCCAAGAGUUCAUAUCGACGGCGGUGUUUGGCACCUCGAUGUCGGCUCAUCACAUCCUGGGGCUGAAGUAGGUCCCAAGGGUAUGGCUGUUCGCCAUUUAAAGUGGUACGCGAGCUGGGUUUAGAACGUCGUGAGACAGUUCGGUCCCUAUCUGCCGUGGGCGCUGGAGAAUUGAGGGGGGCUGCUCCUAGUACGAGAGGACCGGAGUGGACGCAUCACUGGUGUUCGGGUUGUCAUGCCAAUGGCACUGCCCGGUAGCUAAAUGCGGAAGAGAUAAGUGCUGAAAGCAUCUAAGCACGAAACUUGCCCCGAGAUGAGUUCUCCCUGACUCCUUGAGAGUCCUGAAGGAACGUUGAAGACGACGACGUUGAUAGGCCGGGUGUGUAAGCGCAGCGAUGCGUUGAGCUAACCGGUACUAAUGAACCGUGAGGCUUAACCUU